rnacentral:rRNA from 1 species
AGUGAACGCUGGCGGUAGGCCUAACACAUGCAAGUCGAACGGCAGCACAGUAAGAGCUUGCUCUUACGGGUGGCGAGUGGCGGACGGGUGAGGAAUACAUCGGAAUCUACUUUUUCGUGGGGGAUAACGUAGGGAAACUUACGCUAAUACCGCAUACGACCUACGGGUGAAAGCAGGGGAUCUUCGGACCUUGCGCGAUUGAAUGAGCCGAUGGCGGAUUAGCUAGUUGGCGGGGUAAGGGCCCACCAAGGCGACGAUCCGUAGCUGGUCUGAGAGGAUGAUCAGCCACACUGGAACUGAGACACGGUCCAGACUCCUACGGGAGGCAGCAGUGGGGAAUAUUGGACAAUGGGCGCAAGCCUGAUCCAGCCAUACCGCGUGGGUGAAGAAGGCCUUCGGGUUGUAAAGCCCUUUUGUUGGGAAAGAAAAGCAGCAGGUUAAUACCCCGCUGUUCUGACGGUACCCAAAGAAUAAGCACCGGCUAACUUCGUG